AUGGAUACCUAGGCACCCAGAGAUGAGGAAGGGCAUGGUAAGUGACAAAAUGCUUCGGGGAGUUGAAAAUGAGCAUAGAUCCGAAGAUUCCCGAAUAGGUUAACCUUUUUAAUUACUGCUAAAUCCAUGGGCAGGAAAGAGACAACUUGGCGAACUGAAACAUCUUAGUAUUUAGAGGAAUAGAAAUCAAAAUCAAUUCCCGUAGUAGUAGAAAGUGAAAUGGGAGCAGCCUAAACCAUGAAAACGAGGUUGUGGGAGAGCACAAUAUAAGCUCUGUGCUGCUAGGCGAAGCGAUUGAGUCCUGCACCCUAGAUGGUGAGAGUCUAGUAGCCAAAAGCAUCAUUGGGUUAUGCUCUAACCUGAGUAGCAUGGGGCAUGUGGAAUCCCGUGUGAAUCAGCAAGGACCACCUUUCAAGGCUAAAUACUCUUGGGUGACCGAUAGUGAAGUAGUACCAUGAGGGAAAGGUGAAAAGAACCCCCAUUGGGGAGUGAAAUAGAACAUUGAUCU
rnacentral:ncRNA from 1 species